GACGAACGCUGGCGGCGUGCUUAACACAUGCCAGUCGAACGGUGAAGCGCCUUCCUUUUUGGUGGGUGUGGAUGAGUGGCGAACGGGUGAGUAACACGUGAGUAACCUGCCCCCUUCUUCUGGAUAACCGCAUGAAAGUGUGGCUAAUACGGGAUAUUCUGGGUCUGUCGCAUGAUGGGUCUGGGAAAGAUAUUGUUUCGGUGGGGGAUGGGCUCGCGGCCUAUCAGCUUGUUGGUGGGGUGAUGGCCUACCAAGGCGGUGACGGGUAGCCGGCCUGAGAGGGUGGACGGUCACACUGGGAAUGAGACACGGCCCAGACUCCUACGGGAGGCAGCAGUGGGGAAUAUUGCACAAUGGGCGCAAGCCUGAUGCAGCGACGCCGCGUGAGGGAUGGAGGCCUGCGGGUUGUGAACCUCUUUCGCCAGUGAAGCAGGCCUGCCUCGUUUGUGGGUGGGUUGACGGUAGCUGGAUAAGAAGCGCCGGCUAACUACGUG
rnacentral:rRNA from 1 species